GACGAACCGUGCGAACGUUGUUCGGAAUCACUGGGCUUAAAGGGCGCGUAGGCGGGCUGCCAAGUCUGGGGUGAAAUCCCACGGCUCAACCGUGGAACUGCCCCGGAUACUGGCGGCCUCGAGGGGGGUAGGGGCGUGCGGAACUGUGGGUGGAGCGGUGAAAUGCGUUGAUAUCCACAGGAACUCCGGUGGCGAAGGCGGCACGCUGGACCUUUUCUGACGCUGAGGCGCGAAAGCCAGGGGAGCAAACGGG
rnacentral:rRNA from 1 species